GAGGCUAGACAGUCACUUGUCUGAGAUGGUAUAGACUCUCCUGCUCUAGCAGGGAGUUGGACUAGACGACCUCCAAGGUCCCUUCUGUGUUAUUCUGUAUUCUGGAUCACAUCAGCUUUGGGCUUUGGGGGUGGGUAGAGGGAGAGAAAUGCCAUUGGACAGAAGGUGCCAGUUCACUACUGUUUUCCCACUUACAAACACCGAUUUUGUGCUCCUGUGCAAGACCGCUGUGUUGAAAAUCGGAGCUAAAUUUGUGAGUGGGUGGGGGGUCCCACUCAAUAAAUCAAUCCUACUGUUUUAUUGCCAGUCACCCCUCCCCAUCAGCUAGUUCCGGACUGGUCUUUGACAGAUGCUUUGGCCAUCUGUUAAAACUCUCCGAUCCCAGGUUGAGCAGUUGGGGAUGCUUUUCCCACUGGCAUCACUUAAGUCAGCAAAAUUAGGAACCCCAUUCCCUGGAGAUCCAGAUGUUCCAUAGUAUAUUUUGUAUGUAUGUAUUUAUUUACUUACUUAAUGUAUUUGUAUCCCGCCUUUAUUAUUUUUACAAAUAACUCAAGGGGGCAAACAUAUCCAACACACCUUCUUCCUCCUGUUUUCCCCAUAACAACAAUCCUGUGAGGUGGGUUUGUUUGAGAGAGAGGGACUCGCCCAAAAUAUCACCCAACUGGCUUACGUGCCUAAGGCAGGACUAGAACUCAUCACCUCCCACUUUCUAGCCCGGUGCCUUAACGCUAGACCAAACUGGCUUUGGAUAGUAAGAUGGGUGGCCUAUGCAUUUAAUAAUAAUAAAAUAAAAUGAAAUAUAUUUUUCCAAUAAUUCCUGGAUGUCUUCAGCCAUCAUCCAUAGAAAAACACUAUUGUAAAAAUCGAUCAACAGACAAAUAAUGGAUUGCUUUUUCCACAGAGCAGAACUGUUUUAAAGAUUUCAAAGUUGUCUGUUACCUUUUCCCCAUUCCUCUUCUCCAAUGUGUCCCCUCCCACAAAACUAGCCCAAAUUUAAACAAACCACUCGUUUUUUCAUUAACCCUGUUAAGUAGGUUAUUCGCAGGCAGCUGGCAGGAGCUCAUGAGGGCAUCUCCAAGUGCCUUUGCUUUAAAAAGAAAGAAAAGCUGAAAUGAGAAUUCCAGAAUUUCAAAACUUACAGAUUAUGAGGAAAGCUGCUGAAAACUCACUUUUCUUGCAAAAGACAACUUCACGGGGAAUUCCCGUAAAGCAGAAGACAAAUAACUUUUUUGCAAAACAGCAAUCUUGUGCUUUUUUUUUUUCUUUCUCCCCAACACUUCCUACCAGCUUGAUGUUGUUAAGUCCUUGAGUUACGGUUACAGUUUCUGUUGCUUGAUGACUUUUGAUCUUUUCCCCUCUGGCCUCUUUUACAGGAUUGUUGUGAAAAUACAACGAAGGGGAAGGAAAGGGCGCCAAACCGAGGCACACCGAGCACAAACAUCACCUGGGGACAUCAGCAUGUCGGAUUGUGGUCCCUAAUCGUCUUGGUUGCUCUUCUCUGCACUCUUUUGAAGAACAUGAAAACUCAAAACGAGCUGAGUCAGACGAGGAAUGCUGACCUACGUUGAAGAAAGAAACCUAACGUCUGUCGGAGAGAGAACACUGAUUCCUCCCUUCCUUACAGAGGACUAGACACUUAAAGCUCACUGAAGCCCUCUGAAGGAAGAGCUGUGUCCUGGUCCAUUCCGCAAGGAACAGAACAGAACAGAGUUAGAAGGGACCCUGGAGGUCUUCUAGUCCAACCCCCUGCUCUCCCGGCUCCUUGAAGAGCAAGCUGCUUUCGGACUUUCCUGCAAAGAGGGGAGUGGUAAGUGGAAAUCUUUGGGGUGUGGGGCUGGGGGGUCUUCCUGCCCCGGUGCGAGGGUAGAACUAUUCGAGCCCAUCAGGGUCCUGGCAGCCCUUCCCUCCCCUUGGAUGCCAGAGCCAAGGCGCAGAAACCAGGCGCGCCUCUCUUGUGCAAGCGCCAGCCUGCCCUGCACGGCAGAAGAAUGUGCUCCAAGGGGGAGGAAGCCAUGGAGCUGGUUCCCCCCCUCCCUCCCUCCUCGCAGCCUGGCACGCCUCCUCCUGUGGGCUGCCUCUUCCAGGCAGAACUUUGCCGAAGCCGCCUGUCUCCAGCCGGGCCUCACCGCCUCCCUCAGCUUCCUCAUUCCCAGCAAUCCGGUUGCACAAGAGGCCUCAGCAACGGACAGGAUGAGGGCGAGGCUGAGAAAGGAGGGGGGGGAAAGGAGGGGCAGCACCAGAGAAAGCAAAAAUGAGCUUUCUUUGCUCUUUGCAAGGAGAAAAAGAAUGGGGGGGGUCAUGCACUGUUCACUGGACCGGCUCCCCACCAGAAUGCAAGAUUCAGGGGAGGAAACCGGGAGUCUGUCUUUCUUUCUUUCUUUCUUUCUUUCUUUCUUUCUUUCUUUCUUUCUUUCUUUCUUUCUU